AAAAAAGCAGGAAAAUUUUUGGAUUCUGAUGAAGCAUUUAGACUAUAUCCUGCUGCUUCUCUCUCCAGAAAGUUCAAAACCAAAAGCAAGUACAAAUGGGCCGUCCAGAGAGAAAGGUGCGUGGCCUCGGAUGGAAGAAUGGUCAAUGUCUUCUUUCAUCAGGGGGGCCUCCGCACCCACCCCUGCCCCAGCGGGCCCAGCAGGCAGCAGCGUCCUCCUCAUGGCUUCUGGCCAGGCCUGUCUCUCUCGAAAAACAUAGGGAUUUCAUUUUGUCACACUAAAGUCAAAUGCCAGUGGCAACCAUCAAGAGCUUCUCCAGGAUUAAAACACCCUUUGUUUGAAAGGAGGGCAUUUUAUCUGGGAAGAGGAGCAUGCAGGUCCCAUGAGAUGGGUAAAAAUAGCCCAGGCAGGACUGACCCACCGAAGGAGGGCCCUGUGGGAUGACACAGAGCUCUGCUGAUGGGCGAAGCUGAUCUUCUGCAGGGCAGGAAAGAUCUCUCUCUCUGCAAGGACAACUGGGUAUCUUUCCACUGUUUCCUGGGUGACCUGGGAGCAGAUCGCCUGAGGCUGGAACCCUGGAAAGAUCUAAGCACAUGAGAUCCCAGAGGCAGAGCCAGAGACUUGUCCACUUGUCCCUAUGACCGCCUAAUCCAAGCCAACGCUGCCUUUCCUCCAGUGAGGGCCUCGGAACCCGUCCCUUAUUCCCACUCGCACUCCUGCAUCCAGAGCACGCUGCUCAAAAUGUUCAUCAGAGGAGAUCUCUCGCUUGCAAAAAUCCCUCCAAAUGGCUUCUAGUCAUCUUCAGAUUCAUGAAAUCCACACUGCUUCCUGCAGCCUCCACGGCCUCCACCUAGCCCGCCACCUUCAACUGCCCCUCCCUUGCUCUCGUCCAUCACCUUCUGGCGAUACAGGUCUUCUCUCUGAAUCUCCAGCAACUCGUCACAGCAAAGCAUUUGCACUUGCUGUUCCUUCUGCCUUCGAUGCUUUCCCCUGCUCUUCAUGCGGCUGAUUCUUCCUGUUCAGAGCUUGGCUCAAAUGUUACCUCCCCCAAAACCACAGUGAGCACACUGCCUAAAACCCAUUAUUUUCUAUCACAUCAUCUUACUUUCUUGAAAUAUGAAAAAAAAUUACUUCAAAAUUAAGAUAUAAUGUGUGGUGGUUUAAAAACAUGCCCACGAAUUCUUUGCUUCUACUGCCUUUAAGGAAUGAAGCUUCAUUCUCCUCCCCUCGAGCGUGGGCCGGACCUAGUGACUUGAUUCUAAUGGUGGAAUACGGUGGAAGAAAUGGUGUGUGACUUCGGAGACUAGGUCAUAAAGGGCGUCGUGGCCGCCUCCUCUGUUUGCUCUCUUCAGUCUCUUGUUUCCAGAGAAGCCGGGUGACAGGUCAUGAGGACGUGCAAGCAGCCCCAUGGAGAAGUCCACAUGGCAAGGAACUGUGCCCUCCUGUCAGCAACCAGCACCACCUUCCAGGCAAAUUGCUCGUGGGAAUGCUGAAGCAGUGAUAAUCAUAACAUAAUGCAGCCAGAGCUUCGCGCCAUCCUCCCCGGCUGUACACAGGACCCACUGCGAUGCGCUCAUGGGAACAGAAUGUUUUCCCCAGUGGACCUGCCACCAGCCCGCCUUUCACGACAUGUCAACCAGCUUCCCUCAAAACAAGAGGCUGAAGAGAGCAAACGAGGAGGAGGCCACGAUGCCUUUAGUCUCCAAAGUCACACACCAUCACUUCCACCUUCUCUUCUUGUCCUUCUCUUCCUGUUACUGCUUCCUAGACCAGCACUCAAGGAGCCAUUACUUUAAAAUGUGAAGAGAAAUAUGUGGGCUUAAUUUAAUAAUACAUUCUACUUAACCUAA